rnacentral:rRNA from 1 species
GACGAACCUUGCUAACGUUAAUCGGAAUUACUGGGCGUAAAGCGUGCGCAGGCGGUUGUGCAAGACAGAUGUGAAAUCCCCGGGCUCAACCGUGGGAAUUGCAUUUGUGACUGCACGGCUAGAGUGUGUCAGAGGGGGUAGAAUCCACGUGUGAGCAGUGAAAUGCGUAGAGAUGUGGAGGAACACCGGUGGCGAAGGCGG